AGAGUUUGAUCCUGGCUCAGGAUGAACGCUGGCGGCGUGCUUAAUACAUGCAAGUCUAAGGGGUCUGUUCCUUUCGGGGAGCAGGUCACUGGCGCACGGGUGAGUAACACGUAAGUCAUCUACCUCUGGGUCUGGCAUAACACCGGGAAACCGGCGCUAAUACCAGAUGAUACCGCAAGGUCAAAGCUGAGGCGCCCGGAGAUGAGCUUGCGUCUGAUUAGCUAGUUGGUGGGGUAAUGGCCCACCAAGGCAACGAUCAGUAGCCGGUCUGAGAGGAUGAUCGGCCACAUUGGGACUGAGACACGGCCCAGACUCCUACGGGAGGCAGCAGUAAGGAAUAUUGCGCAAUGGACGAAAGUCUGACGCAGCAACGCCGCGUGCAGGAUGAAGGCCCUUUGGGUUGUAAACUGCUGUAGCAGGGGAAUAAGAGCUCCUUAUGGGAGCGUGAAGGUACCCUGAAAGUAAGCGCCGGCUAACUACGUGCCAGCAGCCGCGGUAAUACGUAGGGCGCAAGCGUUGUCCGGAUUCACUGGGUGUAAAGGGUGCGCAGGCGGGAAGGCAAGUCAGAGGUGAAAUCUCACGGCUCAACCGUGAAACUGCCUUUGAUACUGCUUUUCUUGAGUCAGGGAGAGGUUGAUGGAAUUCCAGGUGUAGCGGUGAAAUGCGUAGAUAUCUGGAAGAACACCGGUGGCGAAGGCGGUCAACUGGCCCUGAACUGACGCUGAGGCACGAAAGCGUGGGGAUCAAACAGGAUUAGAUACCCUGGUAGUCCACGCGGUAAACGAUGGGCACUAGGUGUGGGGGGUAUCCACUCCUCCCGUGCCGAAGCUAACGCAUUAAGUGCCCCGCCUGGGGAGUACGGCCGCAAGGUUAAAACUCAAAGGAAUUGACGG
rnacentral:rRNA from 1 species